CGGAAGUGUAUUAUCUAUUUAGAUUUUUCCUGUAUUUCCAGUAUAUAAGGCAGGUGUUGAUGUCGAUUACACAGGUGGAUAGAUGACAUUUCGAGAUGAAGUUCAUAGCGCUGUUUAUGGCUGUACUGGUGAUUGUGUUUGCCGUUGUGAGCGGCAUGGGCAUCGGCGGCAACGCAGCGUUGUCGCACAACAACGAGAAGGCUGGUUGCGGCGGCGGCGGUGGACGUGGCCCCCCACCACCACCCCCCUCUAACAGUUCGGGUUAAUCAU